CCUUUGCCGGCGACCGGCGCACGGGUGAGUAACACGUAUGCAACCUGCCCCCUUCAGGGGGACAACCUUCCGAAAGGGAGGCUAAUCCCGCGUAUAUCGGUUUCGGGCAUCCGAGAUCGAGGAAAGAUUCAUCGGAAGAGGAUGGGCAUGCGGCGCAUUAGCUAGACGGCGGGGUAACGGCCCACCGUGGCGACGAUGCGUAGGGGUUCUGAGAGGAAGGUCCCCCACACUGGUACUGAGACACGGACCAGACUCCUACGGAAGGCAGCAG
rnacentral:rRNA from 1 species